ACAUCAGAACAAUAUUCCACCGUGCUGGAAAUGAAGGCAUGGAUGAGCUUCUCUGAACCUUCUCUGAACAUGAGAGCUCUCAUUCUUAUUUGUUUGAGAUGAUACACUUUAGUUCCACGAGGCACAAACCAGAUGAGGGUGUGAUUCUAUUGACUACGUGUCAUGUACAUACUGUAUAUGAGCCAUGGUUUGCUAAUCAGCUGUGAAGCCCUUUACAUUCUUGAAGUAACUGCAUCAUCUCAUCGCUGAAAAGAAAGCAAAUGCCUCAGUGUAUUUGCCACCAACCUUUGAGCUGACAGUGAUCGUUCAUCAAAAAAUCCUCCUACAAAGCAAGACGUGCUUGUUUCCGGCAUUCCUUGACAGCAGAUCAGUUAAAAAGUCCUGCAGGGAGUAAUGGAACAACACAGCACAGUGAGCUGCUCACUGAUGAGCUGCAGGCGACUCACACAUCGACACUUCAAACUCACCUGAAAGGAAACCAACCCCCCCGUCACUGCUGAUGAAUGAUAGAAAAAGGCCAGAUAGUGACACAUAAGAUAAUUUGUCCCUGUUUUUGUUUGGCUGACUAGUUGCUAUUUCUGACAAAGUAGCUGCUCCAGGAGUGCUUGAAUUACUUAAACUUUGAAUAUUGCAUCCGAAGACAACAAGUUUCAAUCUUAGUAUUUAGUCACUGAAGUGCUUUUAGAAAAUACCUAGUUGUACUUUUUUCAUAUUUCCAGCACAAUUUAAUAUUUUUUUGAACGCACUGAAAUGCUUUUAGAAAUGCACAGACAGGAUAUUUAAAGCAAAAGUGCUUUGUUUUAUCAAUAUAUUGGUGACAACAUGACAGAUUCUAUGUGGUGUACUUCUGUAUAUUUUUUUUUUGUUUCUUUUUUUGUUUGUUUGACUUGUUUUUCUGAAGCAUUAAUUAAUUCAUUGUCUACCUA